UACGUAGGGCGCAAGCGUUGUCCGGAAUCAUUGGGCGUAAAGAGCGUGUAGGUGGCUCGGUAAGUCCGCUGUGAAAGUCCAGGGCUCAACCCUGGAAAGCCGGUGGAAACUGUCGAGCUCGAGUCCGGAAGAGGCGAGUGGAAUUCCUGGUGUAGCGGUGAAAUGCGCAGAUAUCAGGAGGAACACCAAUGGCGAAGGCAGCUCGCUGGGACGGUACUGACACUGAGACGCGAAAGCGUGGGGAGCAAACAGG
rnacentral:rRNA from 1 species